GUCACACUACCUCCUCCUAUCCUGGCUAGGCCGUCAAUUUAGAGCGAACAUAUUAGAUGAAAAAGAGUUAAGAAGUACAUUUCGGUCACCAGACAGUCUCAGGCUGUGAAAGGCUGUUUCGUUUUCUCUUCUCUUCGUAUGCUCUUGGUGCCUUUACCGCUGGCGUAUACAGGAAGAAAACGUCUUUCCAGGAAGGCCGCGGAGGCUCUUUAAGCUUCACCAGAGCAAUGCUGAACAAUACACACAGAGGCACACUGGAAACGCAAUAGAACAAUGGCUGCCAAUUUAAAAGCAGAAGUUAAGAAGAGCAAACCCGAAUGUACAGCGAGAGAGCUUCGGGCUGGAUCAGCUCCCGGCAGAAGCGAGACUGGAAAUCUUGGAUUCUGUUGCCUCUUCUCUCCUCUGUGAUGUGGAAGAAGAUGUCAGCACCUGGGUGUGGACUUGGUCAUUAACGCUUAUUUCCCAACCUUUGCCAAGCUGCCUAACUCCCUGGAGUCUUAGUUUUCUCAUGUGUGGGAGACAAUGUGUUCUUUAUCCUGAAGUCAUUGUGAGGACUGAGUGAGAGGAUGUAUGUGGAAGGAAGCACCAAGCAUGGUUCCUGGUAUAUACUAGGUACUCAGUAAAUGUGGACUAGCGUGAAUAUGAACUCCACUCACUUCGUGCCCCCUCAUGCUGGCUGGUCCCCGGUGCUCUGGGCUUCCCAAGUCAUGGCAGUUUUCCCAAAGUGGCCCCUAAAGUCAUGUCAGUCCUUGGGGCCUCAUUACUUAGGUUUCCUGUGCCAUCUGCUCCUUUCCAGUCAUAGAUUCCAUGCUCCGUUCUGACAGAAGCUUGCUUCUGCUGGCUGUCACACUUAAAAAGUGGCGGAUGACCAUUCGAGCGUUAGAUGAUAAUGAUUUAUGAACACCAUCCCUCCAGACAGCAUUUGCAGUAUUACAAGUUUUGCUUUUAUUUUAUUUGUCACUAGGAAGGCACUGAGAACAAAAGGAAACUCUCUUGAAUGGUGGGAUCGAGGCACUGUAGCACAUUUUUUAUGGAGGGGAAGGAGGCUUUUCACCUGGAAACCUUUCAAAUCACACCCUAUAAGUAGCUCACGAGUCUCUCUACUCAUACUGAUCUCUUCAUCUGCUGAGUUGAACAGUGUCCCCCAAAUUCAUGGCCACCCGGGACCUGUGAAUGUGACCUUAUUUGGAAAUAGGGUCAUUGCAGAUAUACUCAAAUUAAGACAAGGCCAUAUUGGAUUAGGGGGAGCCCUAAAUUCAAUAUGACUGGAGUCUUUAUAAGAAGAGGAAAAUUUGGCCACAGAGAUAUAGACCUACGGGGUAUCAGGCCCUGUGAAGACAGAGUCAGAGAUUGGAACGAGGUGUCAAGUCAAGGAUCAACAAGGAUUGCUGACAACCAGAGCAAGAUGGAAGAGGCAAGGAAGGGCUCUUCCUUAGAGACUUCAGAAGGAACAGGCCCUGCCAACACCUUGACUGUGGACUUCUAGCCUCCAGAACUUUGAGGGAAUAAAUUUCUGUUGUUUCAAGCCGCCCAGUCUAUG
rnacentral:lncRNA from 1 species